rnacentral:rRNA from 1 species
UACAGAGGUCCCAAGCGUUGUUCGGAUUCAUUGGGCGUAAAGGGAGCGUAGGUGGCCUUAUAAGUCAGUGGUGAAAUCUCUGGGCUUAACCCAGAAAUUGCCAUUGAUACUGUAGGGCUUGAGUACAGUUGCUGUGGGCGGAAUAUGACAUGUAGUGGUGAAAUACAUAGAGAUGUCAUAGAACACCGAUUGCGAAGGCAGCUCACAAAACUGUAACUGACACUGAGGCUCGAAAGUGCGGGGAUCAAACAGG